rnacentral:tRNA from 1 species
CAUUAUGAAGCUAGUAGCAUUAACCUUUUAAGUUAAAGAUAGUGGUUCAAUUACCUCCAUAAUGA